CGGCAGCACAGAGGAGCUUGCUCCUUGGGUGGCGAGUGGCGGACGGGUGAGGAAUACAUCGGAAUCUACUCUGUCGUGGGGGAUAACGUAGGGAAACUUACGCUAAUACCGCAUACGACCUACGGGUGAAAGCAGGGGAUCUUCGGACCUUGCGCGAUUGAAUGAGCCGAUGUCGGAUUAGCUAGUUGGCGGGGUAAAGGCCCACCAAGGCGACGAUCCGUAGCUGGUCUGAGAGGAUGAUCAGCCACACUGGAACUGAGACACGGUCCAGACUCCUACGGGAGGCAGCAGUGGGGAAUAUUGGACAAUGGGCGCAAGCCUGAUCCAGCCAUACCGCGUGGGGUGAAGAAGGCCUUCGGGUUGUAAAGCCCUUUUGUUGGGAAAGAAAUCCAGCCGGCUAAUACCUGGUUGGGAUGACGGUACCCAAAGAAUAAGCACCGGCUAACUUCGUGCCAGCAGCCGCGGUA
rnacentral:rRNA from 1 species